GCCAGAUCACGCUGACCGCUCGAGAUCUGGCCUCGGGUGAAGCCGUGACCCCUGACCCCAGAGGUGGACUGGUGGAAAUCAGCAGUGACGGGAUCUUCACAGGCAUCAGAGGAAGGAGUCAAGGGCCAAAACUCCCUCUGCUGGAUCUUCAUCGACAUCAGGGCCUCCACAGCUUCUGAAUAUCUCCAGUCUGAAUCAGACUGCUAGAUAAAACCGAGCCGGGCCGUGGAGGUCGUGCUUUCGCCUCCAGCCAAUCAUCGACAAAGGUGUGCGGAGCGUCAGCCAAUCAGAAGCGCGCGUCGCUGCGUGAUCAGCGGCUGAUCCGCGCGGUGUGUGCGGGUGGUACACAGUCGGUCAGCUGUGUGUGCAAGCUAUAAAAAGACUGAUGCGUGGAUAUUUAAGCUGAGCCAUGCUGGACCUGAUUCAGCUCUGGCAUUUUACUCACAUGUUUUAUUCACGCUUACAACAGCGACCCCUAAAAAGCCUUGAUUUUCUUCA